GAUGAACGCUGGCGGCGUGCCUAAUACAUGCAAGUCGAGCGAACGGACGAGAAGCUUGCUUUUCUGAUGUUAGCGGCGGACGGGUGAGUAACACGUGGAUAACCUACCUAUAAGACUGGGAUAACUUCGGGAAACCGGAGCUAAUACCGGAUAAUAUUUUGAACCGCAUGGUUCAAAAGUGAAAGACGGUCUUGCUGUCACUUAUAGAUGGAUCCGCGCUGCAUUAGCUAGUUGGUAAGGUAACGGCUUACCAAGGCAACGAUGCAUAGCCGACCUGAGAGGGUGAUCGGCCCAACCGGAACUGGAACAAGGUCCCAACUCCUAAGGGAGGGAAGAAGAGGGAAUCCUCCGGAAAUGGGCGAAGGCCGAAGGAGGAAACGCGGGGGGGGGAAGGAGGUUCUCGGAUCGGAAAACCUCUUUAUUAGGGAAAAAAAUAUGUUGAAGGAACUGGUCACAACUUGGAGGGAACUAAACAGAAAGGCACGGCCAAACACGUG
rnacentral:rRNA from 1 species